AUGGAGUACAAGAAUAAGCACGUCCUCGCCCCAAUGGUCCGAGUGGGCACUUUACCAUUCAGAUUACUUGCUGCACAAUAUGGUGCAGACAUUACUUAUGGGGAAGAAAUAAUAGAUCAUAAAAUGAUCAAGUGUGAUCGACACAUUAAUGAAUAUCUUGGGACCACUGAUUUUGUUGAGAGAGGGACACAAAAUGUUGUUUUUAGAACAUGCCCUGAAGAAAGGAAUCGAGUUGUAUUCCAAAUGGGUACAUCGAAUGCUGUGAGGGCACUUACUGCUGCACAAUUAGUGUCCAAAGAUGUAGCAGCCAUAGAUAUUAACAUGGGCUGCCCGAAGUCAUUUUCGAUUAGCGGAGGAAUGGGUGCUGCCUUGCUAUCUAAACCAGAACUUAUUCAUGAUAUAAUCACUACAUUGAAACGGAACCUAGACAACACAAUAACAUGCAAGAUUCGUCUACUCAAGUCGUCAGAGGUCACAGUUGAAUUGGCUCGACGAAUUGAAAAGGCUGGUGUUUCUGCUCUGGCUGUUCAUGGAAGAAGGGUUCCAGAUAGGCCCAGAGAUCCUGCAAAAUGGGAUGAGAUUGCUGAUGUUGUAGCAGCAUUGUCAAUUCCUGUUAUAGCUAAUGGUGAUGUUUUUGAAUAUGAAGAUUUUGAACGUAUUAAAGGUGCUACAGGAGCCACAUGUGUCAUGGUGGCUAGAGGUGCGCUAUGGAAUGCUUCUAUUUUUUCCCCUAGCAAGUCAUCCUGGGAGGAUGUCAAAAGAGAGUAUGUACGACAGUGCAUCUUGUGGGACAAUGAUGUGAAAAGCACAAAACACACUUUGAAGGAAAUGAUAGCACACUAUUCUUCUCUAGAAUUGCCAGAAGGAAAGGCAGUGAUUAAAUCUGCGAAUACAGAAAAUGUGGCGUAAGUUUCUUCUUUGGUUUUGAUAUCAAUUCCUGGAGUGCAGCGCAUAAUCAAUUAAUCUCGACAGUGCACUUUAAGGUUGAUGAUUCAGAUGUAUUUUUAUUGCCACCUUGUUCUUUUAAACAGCAUGGUGUAAUGCAUUAGGUGCAGGUGGACUAACUCUUUCAUGUCCUGAAAAUUGAACAAGAGAAUGAAACACUUCAAGACAAUGACAAAGUUCAUCAGCCAUACUUUGUCUGCAUUGGUAAAAGUGAUCAUCUUCUGAGGAAGGUGGUAUGUAUUACCGGUGGCAGUAAAUCUCUGCCAUCUUGAACCAUGAAGCUGCCUGAGAUAUAAACAUGAAGUAACUGAAGUCUUAGUGUAAAUUCUCUUGGAUUAUAAUGGAUCUCAAACACUAAGAAGACAUUCAAACAUCAUAUUGAGUUGUGAUUUCCACUAGGAAGAUUAUUUUUACUAAGAACUCAUAAAAUUUUGUCCAAGAGCUGUUUCAAUAUGCUGAGAAAUAUGGGAAGGCAAAAGGCUAUAUUAACAAUUCCAAGUGAGGAAUUGUAGGAGGGUAGCUACUGUUGCUCUAGGUUAGGCAUUGAAGAAAGUUAUGAGGAAGAUUUGAUUAGAUGAUCGGAAAGCAAAUGCAAAUUUUAAUACUUUUUAAAAUCACAUUAAAAAUAUAUAUAUAUAUAUAUGAUGAAUGAUUUGAUGCUAGUAUUAUUACAUUGAAUAUAUUUUUUAGUUGUGUGCAAUUCCACAUGGUUAUUUGUUUGGAUGCGAGAGGUCUAUGCAUUUUACGACAUCAUUAAUGACUGGUAACUCAUGAGAGCACUUCCUGAUUUUCCUUUCUAUGUUCUGACUUACGAAUUUUUUAUUUCCUUUACUGAAUUAUAUGGUUUCAUGUGGUGCUUAAUAGCAAUUUUACAGGUUUGUUAUAUUGGUUUAAUUCUUUCCAUUAGUCUCAUUUUGGUUGACCGUCUGAGUAAUUAACUUAUGUUGUAA